rnacentral:ncRNA from 1 species
UAAUCAGUAAAGAUGAGGACAAGGCAAGAUGCCGAUUUCUCUACAGAGAAGGAUAUGUAUGCUGAAAGUAUCCUGUGAAAUGUCUCUUGUCACCACCUCGGAGCUCACAAACUGAAAACAGUAUGUUUGUGCGGUCGCUACGUUACAGCGCUCAAGAUACCGGAUACUUUCGGUAAAUAGGGUGGAACCGCGUGAAUAAGACUCUCGUCCCUUUG